rnacentral:rRNA from 1 species
AAACUUAAAGGAAUUGACGGGGCCCGCACAAGCGGUGGAGCAUGUGGUUAAUUCGACGCAACGCGAAGAACCUUACCAGGGCUUGACAUCCCCUGACCGCGUAUGAAAGUACGUUUUCACCCUCGGGUGACAGGGAGACAGGUGGUGCAUGGUUGUCGUCAGCUCGUGUCGUGAGAUGUUGGGUUAAGUCCCGCAACGAGCGCAACCCCUACGUUUAGUUGCUAACGCGUGAAGGCGAGCACUCUAGACGAACUGCCGUUGACAAAACGGAGGAAGGUGGGGAUGACGUCAAAUCAUCAUGCCCCUUAUGUUCUGGGCUACACACGUGCUACAAUGGCCGGUACAGACGGACGCAAAGCCGCGAGGUGGAGCAAAUCCGAAAAAGCCGGUCUCAGUUCGGAUUGCAGGCUGCAAUUCGCCUGCAUGAAGUCGGAAUCGCUAGUAAUCGCAGGUCAGCAUACUGCGGUGAAUACGUUCCCGGGCCUU